UGUAAGCGUAUACCAAAGUUGUUGCAGUUAAAACGCUCGUAGUCGGAAUUUGGCAGUUCCGGAUGUGUGCACGUCGUGUGCGCACUUCGCGGGGAUUGCUUUUGUGGUCUUGCGUAGGAUGAGGCACUUUUAUUAGUGAACGUCCUCACGCAACCACUUUUUACUGUGAGAAAAUCAGAGUGCUCAAAGCAGGCAUUUGCCGUGAAUGUAUUAGCAUGGAAUAAUAGAAUAGGACUUGGUUCUAUUUUGUUGGUUUGUUGGGACUGAGUAAUGAUUAAGAGGGACAGUUGGGGGCAUAUGUAUUUCGGUGCUAGAGGUGAAAUUCUUAGAUUACCGAAAGACAAACUGCUGCGAAAGCGUCUGCCAAGGAUGUUUUCAUUGA
rnacentral:rRNA from 1 species